rnacentral:rRNA from 1 species
CGGGCCCUAAUAACAUGCAAGUCCGACGAACUCUGGUAUUGAUUGGUGCUUGCAUCAUGAUUUACAUUUGAGUGAGUGGCGAACUGGUGAGUAACACGUGGGAAACCUGCCCAGAAGCGGGGGAUAACACCUGGAAACAGAUGCUAAUACCGCAUAACAACUUGGACCGCAUGGUCCGAGUUUGAAAGAUGGCUUCGGCUAUCACUUUUGGAUGGUCCCGCGGCGUAUUAGCUAGAUGGUGGGGUAACGGCUCACCAUGGCAAUGAUACGUAGCCGACCUGAGAGGGUAAUCGGCCACAUUGGGACUGAGACACGGCCCAAACUCCUACGGGAGGCAGCAGUAGGGAAUCUUCCACAAUGGACGAAAGUCUGAUGGAGCAACGCCGCGUGAGUGAAGAAGGGUUUCGGCUCGUAAAACUCUGUUGUUAAAGAAGAACAUAUCUGAGAGUAACUGUUCAGGUAUUGACGGUAUUUAACCAGAAAGCCACGGCUAACUACGUGCCAGCAGCCGCGGUAAUACGUAGGUGGCAAGCGUUGUCCGGAUUUAUUGGGCGUAAAGCGAGCGCAGGCGGUUUUUUAAGUCUGAUGUGAAAGCCUUCGGCUCAACCGAAGAAGUGCAUCGGAAACUGGGAAACUUGAGUGCAGAAGAGGACAGUGGAACUCCAUGUGUAGCGGUGAAAUGCGUAGAUAUAUGGAAGAACACCAGUGGCGAAGGCGGCUGUCUGGUCUGUAACUGACGCUGAGGCUCGAAAGUAUGGGUAGCAAACAGGAUUAGAUACCCUGGUAGUCCAUACCGUAAACGAUGAAUGCUAAGUGUUGGAGGGUUUCCGCCCUUCAGUGCUGCAGCUAACGCAUUAAGCAUUCCGCCUGGGGAGUACGGCCGCAAGGCUGAAACUCAAAGGAAUUGACGGGGGCCCGCACAAGCGGUGGAGCAUGUGGUUUAAUUCGAAGCUACGCGAAGAACCUUACCAGGUCUUGACAUACUAUGCAAAUCUAAGAGAUUAGACGUUCCCUUCGGGGACAUGGAUACAGGUGGUGCAUGGUUGUCGUCAGCUCGUGUCGUGAGAUGUUGGGUUAAGUCCCGCAACGAGCGCAACCCUUAUUAUCAGUUGCCAGCAUUAAGUUGGGCACUCUGGUGAGACUGCCGGUGACAAACCGGAGGAAGGUGGGGAUGACGUCAAAUCAUCAUGCCCCUUAUGACCUGGGCUACACACGUGCUACAAUGGAUGGUACAACGAGUUGCGAACUCGCGAGAGUAAGCUAAUCUCUUAAAGCCAUUCUCAGUUCGGAUUGUAGGCUGCAACUCGCCUACAUGAAGUCGGAAUCGCUAGUAAUCGCGGAUCAGCAUGCCGCGGUGAAUACGUUCCCGGGCCUUGUACACACCGCCCGUCACACCAUGAGAGUUUGUAACACCCAAAGUCGGUGGGGUAACCUUUUAGGAACCAGCCGCCUAAGGUGACAAAGAUGG